rnacentral:rRNA from 1 species
AGAGUUUGAUCCUGGCUCAGAACGUACGCUGGCGGCACGCCUAACACAUGCAAGUCGAACGAAGUAGCAAUACUUAGUGGCAGACGGGUGAGUAACAUGUAGGUAUCUGCCCUUUGGCCUGGAAUAACACGAGGAAACUUGUGCUAAUACCGGAUAAGUCUUUACGGAGAAAGCUUUAUGCACCAUUGGAUGAGCCUGCACUUGAUUAGUUUGUUGGUGGGGUAAUGGCCUACCAAGACUGUGAUCAAUAGCUGAUUUGAGAGGAUGAUCAGCCACAUUGGGACUGAGACACGGCCCAAACUCCUACGGGAGGCAGCAGUGGGGAAUCUUGCACAAUGGAGGAAACUCUGAUGCAGCGAUGCCGCGUGAGUGAAGAAGGCCCUUGGGUUGUAAAGCUCUUUCGUCGGGGAAGAAAAUGACUGUACCCGAAUAAGAAGGUCCGGCUAACUUCGUGCCAGCAGCCGCGGUAAUACGAAGGGACCUAGCGUAGUUCGGAAUUACUGGGCUUAAAGAGUUCGUAGGUGGUUGAAAAAGUUAGUGGUGAAAUCCCAGAGCUUAACUCUGGAACUGCCAUUAAAACUUUUUAGCUAGAGUAUGAUAGAGGAAAGUAGAAUUUCUAGUGUAGAGGUGAAAUUCGUAGAUAUUAGAAAGAAUACCAAUUGCGAAGGCAGCUUUCUGGAUCAUUACUGACACUGAGGAACGAAAGCAUGGGUAGCGAAGAGGAUUAGAUACCCUCGUAGUCCAUGCCGUAAACGAUGUGUGUUAGACGUUGGAAAUUUAUUUUCAGUGUCGCAGCGAAAGCGAUAAACACACCGCCUGGGGAGUACGACCGCAAGGUUAAAACUCAAAUGAAUUGACGGGGACCCGCACAAGUAGUGGAGCAUGUGGUUUAAUUCGAAGAUACGCGCAGAACCUUACCAACACUUGACAUGUUCGUCGCAACUCUAAGAGAUUAGAGUUUUCGGUUCGGCCGGACGAAACACAGGUGCUGCAUGGCUGUCGUCAGCUCGUGUCGUGAGAUGUUGGGUUAAGUCCCGCAACGAGCGCAACCCUCACUUUUAGUUGCCAUCAUUAAGUUGGGCACUCUGAAAGAACUGCCAGUGAUAAGCUGGAGGAAGGUGGGGAUGACGUCAAGUCCUCAUGGCCCUUACGUGUUGGGCUACACACGUGCUACAAUGGUAUCUACAACAGGAAGCAAGACUGCGAAGUUAAGCAAAUCCCUAAAAGAUACCUCAGUUCGGAUUGCACUCUGCAACUCGAGUGCAUGAAGCUGGAAUUACUAGUAAUCGUGGAUCAGCGUGCCACGGUGAAUGCGUUCCCGGGUCUUGUACACACCGCCCGUCACACCAUGGGAGUUGGUUCUACCUUAAGGCAAGGUUUAAAACCCUUGACCACGGUAUAGUCAGCGACUGGGGUGAAGUCGUAACAAGGUAACC